rnacentral:lncRNA from 1 species
UUCUUCUUGAUUAUAUUCCAGAGGUUUUCAAUUUGGUAAAAUCAAAUAAACUCACAAUUUUUAAGUGGUCUCUUAUUUUUUCCAGAGCUGUAUGUUAUUUGUAUCGUCUUUGCUAUGUCUCUACUAAACUGCUAUAAAUAACCCUAAUUUACAUUCCUCAGGCACUUUGCCGUACCCAGACUUGAACACAUCGGAGGAAGUAGCACGCUUUGUGUGUGCUGGCCACAGAAACAGUGAGCCUGAACAGUGCAGACCUGAAAUCCAACAAAUGAUGAUGGACUGCUGGCAAGAGCCUUACUCCUUAAGGCCUUCCUUCAUGGACAUUGUGGGAGUUCUGGAACACAUUCUUGAAAAUGAUCGUGACUAUGUGGACAUGGACACCAGAAAUGAGAGUAGCUCGGUGGAGCCUGUAGCUUCAGAUACUGUAACAACAUCUGAAGUGCAUACAGUGUAUUGUAAUGAAAGUAAAUGCUAGCUCAGCACUGUUAAUCAGGUUAAAGAUGUGGAUUUAACGAGUAUAGGGGAAAGGCUAUGGUGAAGCCACUGGAAGACACUUUUUUUAAAAAGGGCUUGUGUGUUUGUUUAAAUAUUGGUAUUGUUAAUUAAAGACUGGCUGACUCCAGAGGGGGGCAGGGGGGAAACAGUGUCCUAAAGCAGGGCUUUUAUGGCUUUUAAUGGUAUUUAUGACUUUUCCAUUCUCCUAACACACCUGACUCAACCAAUCAGCUCAUUAACAAGCCACUUUAGAGUUGCAGUGGGUGUGUUGAAGCAGGCAAUUCACUAAAAUAUGCUGUGCAGGAGGGUGUCAGGACCAGGAUUGAAAAACUCUGUCUUAAAUGAUGCCCUUUCCAGUAGAGACAAAGGUACACCGUGCUGUAUAGGGUUCUACCAUACUAUACAAGUGUAAAAACAUGAGUUAUAGAGAAUUUUUUCAUCAGUGAAUUAAACAUGAUCUAAGGAUGUAAAUACAUAAAAAGUACACUGUCAAAGUUAAAUAUAGUCUG